UGUGCGGAAGUUGAUCUAAAGUAUACUUGACAAAAAAUUCGAAUUUGUUUUCAGAAAUCUUAUCGCUUCACUUUAUAUUCGUUUGGCAGAGGACACUGUUAAAAUUCUUUGUGUUAGACAAAGAUACAAAAUCGUGAUAUCGAAUCCCCUUAAGUAAAUCUUUCUCUGAAUAAUUAUCAAAAAAUUAUAUACCAUUAAAAUAGUAUUAGAAGCAUCACAAGUUUUUUACAUUCCUUUCUGUGUUUUCACUAUACAUAUACCAUACCUGUAAGUUUAUAGUAUGCGUUUUUACGAGUUUAUGCUACAGUAAAUAAUACCAUCAAUUAUAUUUUAUAUUAGAGAAAAAAUUUUCAAAAAUAAACAAUGAUACAACAAACCAGCAAACACAGUCAAACAUAUACGAGGAUAAAGAAGAAAACAAAUUUGGAAGAUUCUUUCAUCAAAUUUGUUCAUAUUUAA